rnacentral:tRNA from 2 species
GGCGCUAUCGUCUAGGGGUGAGGAUAGAUGGUUCUCAGCCAUCAGACCCGGGUUCGAAUCCCGGUAGCGCUACCA